rnacentral:rRNA from 1 species
AUUGAACGCUGGCGGCAGGCUUAACACAUGCAAGUCGAGCGGGGGAAGGUAGCUUGCUACCGGACCUAGCGGCGGACGGGUGAGUAAUGCUUAGGAAUCUGCCUAUUAGUGGGGGACAACAUCUCGAAAGGGAUGCUAAUACCGCAUACGUCCUACGGGAGAAAGCAGGGGAUCUUCGGACCUUGCGCUAAUAGCUGAGCAUAAGUUGGAUUAGCUAGUUGGUGGGGUAAAGGCCUACCAAGGCGACGAUCUGUAGCGGGCCUGAGAGGAUGAUCCGCCACACUGGGACUGGGACACGGCCCAGACUCCUACGGGAGGCAGCAGUGGGGAAUAUUGGACAAUGGGGGGAACCCUGAUCCAGCCAUGCCGCGUGUGUGAAGAAGGCCUUAUGGUUGUAAAGCACUUUAAGCGAGGAGGAGGCUACUCUAGUUAAUACCUAGGGAUAGUGGACGUUACUCGCAGAAUAAGCACCGGCUAACUCUGUGCCAGCCGCCGCAGUAA